AACGAACGCUGGCGGCGUGCCUAACACAUGCAAGUCGAACGCCCUAGCAAUAGGGAGUGGCAGACGGGUGAGUAACACGUGGGAACCUUCCCUAUAGUACGGAAUAUACCAGGGAAACUUGGAGCAAUACCGUAUACGCCCGAGAGGGGAAAGAUUUAUCGCUAUAGGAUGGGCCCGCGUAGGAUUAGCUAGUUGGUGAGGUAAUGGCUCACCAAGGCGACGAUCCUUAGCUGGUUUGAGAGAACGACCAGCCACACUGGGACUGAGACACGGCCCAGACUCCUACGGGAGGCAGCAGUGGGGAAUAUUGGACAAUGGGCGCAAGCCUGAUCCAGCCAUGCCGCGUGAGUGAUGAAGGCCUUAGGGUUGUAAAGCUCUUUUGCCGGGGACGAUAAUGACGGUACCCGGAGAAUAAGUCCCGGCUAACUUCGUGCCAG
rnacentral:rRNA from 1 species